CUGUUACCAAGCAAACAAAAUCAGUAUUGACUAAAAUUAAUCUUUGCAAUGCAGAGGAAACACAGAAGCUGCAUUAGAAGUGGGAUUUAGAUGCAUUUACACACCGUUUAAUGCAGGACAUGAAUGUUUUAACCUGCAGUUACAAAUGCCUUCAGUUCAACUACCAACUUAGAAGAGAUUCAUAGAGCUUCUGAAUAGUCUCCAGUUGAAGGCCGUCUUAUCAUAAAACCUGCCAGUUGCUUUAGAGAUGAUGAAGAAGGGAAUCUGCUUCUCACUCUUCUCUCCAAAACUGUCCGUAAUGGCCAUCUCUCUUGCAUUUCAGCAUUGGUGUCUGUUACUGAAGAUUUGGUAAUCACAGUUUAUUUAUUUAUUUAUUUAUUUAUUUAUUUAUUUAUUUUCAUGGAUGUGGCUUUGUGAAGUUCUCUGUGAUUACUUUUUCGAAAACAGGGUCUACAAGGUGAUUGCACACAAUCUUUCUUAAUGUUCAACAGUCCCUAUCAUUCACUUUGAGUUUUCACUCCUUAUUUUUCUUCACAGAUGAAGUUUUGCCAAAUAAAUUGAAAUUGUAACUUUUUUUUUUUUUUGCUGGUACAAAAUAAAUUCUAUAGACUUUUAAAGAUUUCAGUAGAAUUAUUGACAUUUGAUUAACGGCAGUUUCCUAACCCAGCAAAGAAAGAGAAGCGGCUGCACCAAACCAGCUGAAGUAAAACAAACAAAGCCAAUGAUGAAUGAUGUAAAAUGAUGUAAUGCUCUUCUCUUCAUGUGAUCCCCCCCACCCCCCCCCCUCUCUCUCUCUCUCUCUCCCUCUCCCUCCCUCCCUCGUCCUGACUGCUUCAGAGCUCUGAGAACAGCAAUAAGACAAAACAACUGGAUGAAGAGGAAGAGGAUGAACUGUCCAGAGUAAUAAACAAUGUACACUGAUUGGACAUUGAACAGAACUGAAAAGAGCUCUGAGAACAGCCACAAGACAAAACAACUGGAUGGAGAAGAAGAGGGAGAACUGUGCUAUGAUGAAAAUGUAAUACAAGUCAAAUAGGAACAAGAACUAAGUAAUAAUACGGAUUCCA
ensembl:lncRNA